UGUGCGCAAGCACGAGACUGUACGACUCUCAACUACGGAUCUCUUGGCUCUUGCAUCGAUGAAGAACGCAGCGAAAUGCGAUAAGUAAUAGUGUAUUGCAGAAUUCAGUGAAUCAUCGAAUCUUUGAACGCACCUUGCACCCUUUGGCAUUCCGAAGGGUAUGCUCGUUUGAGUGUCAUUGUACUCUCACACUCCCGAUCUUGUUGGGAGCGGUGGACUUGGGUGCUGCUGCUUAUCCGUGGCUCGCCUCGAAUGGAUUCGUGCAUCCUCUUGGUUGGACAUAGUAGCGGCGUGAUAGAUGUGUCUUCGCCGGCGCCUCACGUAGAGGGUGGCCGAUCGGGAGCUGCUGUGCUUCUAACCGUCCUCGGACAAUCAUACUGACAACUGGACACUCAAAUCGAGUAGGACCACCCGCUGAACUUAAGCAUAUCAAUAAGCGGAGG
rnacentral:sRNA from 1 species